GGGGGGCUGGCGCAAGGGUAGCGCGUCAGAUUCCAGUCCUGAAGGUUGUCCGUUCGAAUCGGGCGCUCCUCA
rnacentral:tRNA from 1 species